AGUGAACGCUGGCGGUAGGCCUAACACAUGCAAGUCGAACGGCAGCACAGGAGAGCUUGCUCUCUGGGUGGCGAGUGGCGGACGGGUGAGGAAUACAUCGGAAUCUACCUUUUCGUGGGGGAUAACGUAGGGAAACUUACGCUAAUACCGCAUACGACCUACGGGUGAAAGUGGGGGACCGCAAGGCCUCACGCGAUUAGAUGAGCCGAUGUCCGAUUAGCUAGUUGGCGGGGUAAUGGCCCACCAAGGCGACGAUCGGUAGCUGGUCUGAGAGGAUGAUCAGCCACACUGGAACUGAGACACGGGCCAGACUCCUACGGGAGGCAGCAGUGGGGAAUAUUGGACAAUGGGCGCAAGCCUGAUCCAGCCAUACCGCGUGGGUGAAGAAGGCCUUCGGGUUGUAAAGCCCUUUUGUUGGGAAAGAAAUCCUAUCGGUUAAUAACCGGUGGGGAUGACGGUACCCAAAGAAUAAGCACCGGCUAACUUCGUGCCAGCCGCCGCAGUAAAAC
rnacentral:rRNA from 1 species